rnacentral:rRNA from 1 species
UUGAGUGUUAAUGUUUUGUACCUGAGUAGUAUUAGUUAUGUUCUUGAAACUUAAAGAAUUUGGCGGUAUCUUAUUCCGUUCAGAGGAAUCUGUCUCGUUAUCGAUAGUCCGCGUUGGACCUUACUUGGAUUUGUUGUUAGUUUGUAUACCGCCGUUUAUUGAUUAUCUUUUUAGAGUUGGUUAAUUUUCUGGUUUCUUUAUUUUGAUUUAUUGCAGGUCAAGGUGCAGCUUUUUCUAAGUGUAAUGAUGGAUUACAGUGUUAUUUGUUUUUGGAUUGUUUGUUUUAAUAUUUACAUGAAAUUGGAUUUGGUUGUAAUGUUUUGUAGAUUGUUUUCAUGAUAUUGGUUCUAGGAUAUGUACACAUCGCCCGUCGCUCUCGUUUAGUUGUUA